AACAGGAUUAGAUACCCUGGUAGUCCAUGCCGUAAACGUUGGGCACUAGGUGUGGGGUCUGUUUCCACGGGUUCCGUGCCGUAGCUAACGCAUUAAGUGCCCCGCCUGGGGAGUACGGCCGCAAGGCUAAAACUCAAAGGAAUUGACGGGGGCCCGCACAAGCGGCGGAGCAUGCGGAUUAAUUCGAUGCAACGCGAAGAACCUUACCAAGGCUUGACAUGCACUGGAAGCGCUCAGAGAUGGGUGUGCCUUUUGGGCCGGUGCACAGGUGGUGCAUGGUUGUCGUCAGCUCGUGUCGUGAGAUGUUGGGUUAAGUCCCGCAACGAGCGCAACCCUUGUCCUGUGUUGCCAGCGGGUAGUGCCGGGGACUCAUGGGAGACUGCCGGGGUCAACUCGGAGGAAGGUGGGGAUGACGUCAAAUCAUCAUGCCCCUUAUGUCUUGGGCUUCACGCAUGCUACAAUGGCCGGUACAAAGGGUUGCGAUGCCGUGAGGUGGAGCGAAUCCCAAAAAGCCGGUCUCAGUUCGGAUUGGGGUCUGCAACUCGACCCCAUGAAGUCGGAGUCGCUAGUAAUCGCAGAUCAGCAACGCUGCGGUGAAUACGUUCUCGGGCCUUGUACACACCGCCCGUCACGUCACGAAAGUCGGUAACACCCGAAGCCGGUGGCCCAACCCUUGUGGGGGGAGCUGUCGAAGGUGGGACUGGCGAUUGGGACGAAGUCGUAACAAGGUAACC
rnacentral:rRNA from 1 species